rnacentral:rRNA from 1 species
GCAAUACUUGGUGGCGACCGGCGCACGGGUGAGUAACGCGUAUGCAACCUACCUAUCAGAGGGGAAUAACCCGGCGAAAGUCGGACUAAUACCGCAUAAAACAGGGGCACCGCAUGGUGAUAUUUGUUAAAGAAAUUCGCUGAUAGAUGGGCAUGCGUUCCAUUAGGUAGUUGGUGAGGUAACGGCUCACCAAGCCGACGAUGGAUAGGGAACUGAGAGGUUGGUCCCCCACACUGGUACUGAGACACGGACCAGACUCCUACGGGAGGCAGCAGUGAGGAAUAUUGGUCAAUGGGCGGGGGCCUGAACCAGCCAAGUCGCGUGAAAGGAAGAAGGAUCUAUGGUUCGUAAACUUCUUUUGCAGGGGAAUAAAGUGCAGGACGUGUCCUGUUUUGUAUGUACCCUGAGAAUAAGGAUCGGCUAACUCCGUGCCAGCCGCUGC